GUGUUUCUGUUAAUCCACUGGGUUUUCUUUCUGGAUAUAAGAGGUGGCCUUUUCGGGCUGGAGAGGUGGCUCAGCCGUUAAAGUCUAGGCUCACAACCAAAAAUA
ensembl:miRNA Gm27441 predicted gene, 27441